CCCGGCGGGGAUCGCGCUCCCUGCUACAGCAAAAGUGUGAGCAACUCUGCCAUCUUAUUCUCCUCCACAACUGGACAUUGGCCAAGAAUGAAGACGGUCCUUCUUCUUGGAUUCUUGGGGAUGCUGAGCCUCUGCACUUUUGAUACUAAAGAAUUUCAGGGAGUGAAGGUUGGAUGUGUGAAUGAUAUCUCCAUGAAACGGACUUGUAACAAGACCCUCGCUUCACACCUGGACCUUUACAUCACAACUUGUUGCAGAACCAACAUGUGUAAUAAAGGGCAACGUGCAGAUUUCCCUCCUCCUCGUUGUGCCAAGAAGAAAGAAAAUUCCACCUUGUGAAGGAACAAAAUCCCCCCAUGAUCCCCUGCUAAUUUCCAUAGAAAAGAAAAGUGGAGCGCCUGGGGANAUCUGCUUUAUCAUCUAUGUACACCAUCCCAUGUAUCUUUGAGAAAGGGUGGAACCUAAAUAUGUUAUUCAAUAA
rnacentral:lncRNA from 1 species